rnacentral:rRNA from 1 species
GACGAACGCUGGCGGCGUGCCUAAUACAUGCAAGUAGAACGCUGAAGGAGGAGCUUGCUCUUCUGGAUGAGUUGCGAACGGGUGAGUAACGCGUAGGUAACCUGCCUGGUAGCGGGGGAUAACUAUUGGAAACGAUAGCUAAUACCGCAUAAUAGUAGAUGUUGCAUGAUAUUUACUUAAAAGUUUCAAUUGCACCACUACCAGAUGGACCUGCGUUGUAUUAGCUAGUUGGUGGGGUAAAGGCUCACCAAGGCGACGAUACAUAGCCGACCUGAGAGGGGGGUCGGCCAGACUGGGACUGAGACACGGCCCAGACGCCUACGGGAGGCAGCAGUAGGGAAUCUUGGGCAAUGGGCGAAAGUCUGACCGAGAAACGCCGCGGGAGUGAAGAAGGAUGUCGGAUCGUAAAGCUCGGUUGUAAGGGAAGAACGAGUGUGAGAGUGGAAAGUUCACACUGUGACGGUAUCUGACCAGAAAGGGACGGCUAACUACGUG